rnacentral:misc_RNA from 1 species
CACGGCUUAAAAUUUCCCCUACUGGUAUUUAAUGCCUCUUGUCUCUACUUUAUUUUAUAUAUUGCCGCUUGCACAUGGUUUCUUCAUAAAUCUGGAGUAGCAUACAUUUGAAGAUUUGUCACAGCUUGCUUCAUGUAUUUUUGAAUUGUGGUUAUUGCACAUUUAUUACAUGAUAAUAUCAUGUAGUGCAAGUAUGCAAAACAACAAGUGCAGUCAAGAUACAAAGAAAGGUCAAUGUGACAAAG